GAUGAAGAACGCAGCGAAAUGCGAUAAGUAAUGUGAAUUGCAGAAUUCAGUGAAUCAUCGAAUCUUUGAACGCACAUUGCGCCCGCCAGUAUUCUGGCGGGCACGCCUGUUCGAGCGUCAUUACAACCCUCAGGCCCCCGGGCCUGGCGUUGGGGAUCGGCGGAGCCCCCCGUGGGCACACGCCGUCCCCCAAAUGCAGUGGCGGUCCCGCCGCAGCUUCCAUCGCGUAGUAGCUAACACCUCGCGACUGGAGAGCGGCGCGGCCACGCCGUAAAACACCCAACUCUUCUGAAGUUGACCUCGAAUCAGGUAGGAAUACCCGCUGAACUUAAGCAUAUCAAUAAGCGGAGGA
rnacentral:misc_RNA from 1 species